rnacentral:lncRNA from 1 species
UAAAACCAUUUUUGUGGCAGUCAUUUAAUAUAGGUAUAUGAGAGAGGAGGAGGAGAAAAAAAAGAAGAUGAAGAAGAAAAAGAACAAGAACAAGAAGAACAAGAAUGAUGAUGAGGAGGAGGAAUCUUUUGUGAUGCCUCUUCAUCUUUCAUGGAUUCUAAGAAGAGAUAAUUCAAGUCUGAACCAAGUAUAUUCUAGAUUCUCAAGCAAAGAAGUGCUUGACUUGAGCAAGUUAUCAUAUACAGUAAAGGAUGUUGCUGAACAUUUGUCAGAAAAACUGUGAUUGGAAUAAGGUGGCAGGCAGCCCUAUUGACACGAAUGGAACUGACUCCUAGGUGUAGAAGAUUCUCUGAAUAUAAAUUUAAAUAUUAAAGAAUAAUGAGGUUAUAAGUGACUAAAAAAUUGCUUUUGCUCAUGCCCAGUAGGAAAUUUUAUAAGCACUGAAUUAUGCAACUGUUUCUGUGCCUGUGAAGCACAGAAGGUUUAAUUGGCAGGUAUGUAAUUGCGUGGACUUCUCUCCUUCACCCUUAAGGCUUGGUCACUUUGUUAUGGUUGGGGUCUUCUACCUGAUUUUGAUGGUCUACUGCUUACAAAACUAUUUCCUGCUCUAAUUUGGGGGGAAAACAAUCACAUGAAGAAUGCAGCACAAUGGAUAUCUUUAAGAUGCAAAACCAACAGUUCCAAGGGCAAGCAGUUAAUCACAAAAUCUUUAUGCAGAGCCUCUUGUGUGACCAGGAAAGUUAAGGUUCUUUCCUUAUAAUGUAUUCAUUUUUGACAAUUACAUACUUACUCCAUUUUUCGUUAUAAGUGUGGAGAAUUUGUGUUGAGAAAAUACUGUUGUGAUAUUGGUAUAAUGAAAAUUUGAUUUCUAUUGUUCUCAUUUUAUUUGCUUUGCAAUUCUAUGGUUUUGAAAUGUUGAUGUUACACUAAGACUUUUAUAUUUGGUUCUGAUGGAUUAGUUUGUACAUAUGGAAUUUACUUAAGUCUUUCAGUCUGACCUUUUGGUUAUUUGGUUUG